rnacentral:rRNA from 1 species
UACGUAGGGCGCAAGCGUUGUCCGGAAUUAUUGGGCGUAAAGAGCUCGUAGGCGGCUUGUCGCGUCGAUUGUGAAAGCCCGGGGCUCAACCUCGCGCCUGCAGUGGGUACGGGCAGACUAGAGUGCGGUAGGGGAGAUUGGAAUUCCUGGUGUAGCGGUGGAAUGCGCAGAUAUCAGGAGGAACACCGAUGGCGAAGGCAGAUCUCUGGGCCGUUACUGACGCUGAGGAGCGAAAGCGUGGGGAGCGAACAGG